rnacentral:rRNA from 1 species
CAAUAGCGUAUAUUAAAGUUGUUGCGGUUAAAAAGCUCGUAGUUGGAUUUCUGCUGAGAACGACCGGUCCGCCCUUUGGGUGUGUAUCUGGCUCUUUCUUGGCAUCUUCUUGGUGAACGUUGCUGCACUUGACUGUGUGGAGCGCUACCCAGGACUUUUACUUUGAGGAAAUUAGAGUGUUUCGAGCAGGCAUACGCCUUGAAUACAUUAGCAUGGAAUAAUAAGAUAGGACCUCGGUUCUAUUUUGUUGGUUUCUAGAGCUGAGGUAAUGAUUAAUAGGGAUAGUUGGGGGCAUUCGUAUUUAACUGUCAGAGGUGAAAUUCUUGGAUUUGUUAAAGACGGACUACUGCGAAAACAUUUGCCAAGGAUGUUUUCAUUGA